CCCGGCACAAGCAGCGAGGUAUGUGGUUUAAUUCGACGCUACGCGAAGAACCUUACCUGGGCUUGACAUGCUUGAGAAAGGACCAAGAAACUGGUCCCCCAUGACCGCAAGGUCAUGGCUCAUCCACAGGUGCUGCAUGGUUGUCGUCAGCUCGUGUCGUGAGAUGUAAGGUUAAGUCCUUGAACGAGCGCAACCCCUUUCGUCAGUUGCAAACCAGCAAUGGCGCACCCUGACGAUACUGCCAGCUAAAAGUUGGAGGAAGGAGGGGAUGACGUCAAAUCCUCAUGGCCUUUAUGUCCAGGGCUACACACAUGCGACAAUGGUCGGUACAACGGGUUGCAACACCGCGAGGUGAAGCCAAUCCCUAAAAACCGACCUCAGUUCAGAUUGCAGACUGCAAUUCGUCUACAUGAAGAUGGAGUUGCUAGUAACCGCGGGUCAGCUACACCGCGGUGAAUAUGUUCCCGGGCCUU
rnacentral:rRNA from 1 species